CAACUCUCAUCAUACACCGUUGGAUCCAGAAAUGGACGUCCGAGAUUCGGCCACGUCACCAUGAGUUAAAAUUUAACUCCCAGUAAAUUUUAACUCAUUAGUGAAUCUGCGAGUUAAAUUUUAGCUCAUGGUGACGUGGAUAAAUAUCAGAUGUCCAUUUCUCGAUCCGUGUAGAAUGAGAGUUA
rnacentral:pre_miRNA from 1 species